ACACACACACACACACCAACACCUUACCCACUCCCACAACUGAGAGCAACAGGAAGGUAGGGACAGUCCUGCUUCAGCGCGCGCGCACACACACACACACACACACACACACUCACUCACUUACACACACACAAACCUACAGGCUGAAAAUCAGCUGGGCAAAAGAUGCAGGAAAAAAAAAGAAAACAGAUCAGAGAGCAUGUUGAUAGGGUAAAAAAAAAAAGAAAAGAAAAGAAAAAAUGACACGCAAAUGUUUAUACAUACGCACACACACACGCGCUGUGUGGAUAUGUAUACAUGCACACACAAACAUACAAACACACGUAUUUGUAAAGAUAUCUCUGUAUGCACGUGAAAGUGUUAUGUAUAUGCACGUAUAUCUAUCUGUCUAUCUGUAUCUGCAUGCAUGUAGAUCGAUCAAGCCGUGAGUUCAGUAAAAGCUUAUAUUUCACAAGUAUAGUCUUCCUUUCUCACCUAUAUAUAUAUAUAUAUAUAUAUAUAUAUAAAAACAUUUAUUAUCUACUGUUCAUAUGGAUCUAUGACUGAAAGCUCCCAAGCUACGCAGCAGUAAAAAAAACACGAGGAAACUGGAAUUCUGUCUCACAAUACACACACACACACACAAAACAAAAAUGAAGUUAGUAUACAUAAAUUAUGAAGGGGUUUGAAGAACCCCUCACCAUCACCAGGGAGUGUUUGAACAAGUCACCAGAACUAUAGCAAAAGACAAUUUUCUAUUGAUUGUUAAAACAGUUAUUGUUUAGCCCAAGGUCAGAACUGACCAAGCAGAGCUAUGAUCAAAAACAUUCCAUCUGAGACCACCCGCUAUUUUUUUUUUUUUACCUAUGUGCACAGAACUCAGGAUCAUACCAUCUAGACCGCUUUUUCUUCAAAGUUGGUAGGAAGUGAUGAGGGAGAUUUGGCUGCUAUUUCCAGCAGGCAGAACGACCAUGUAAAGGCUCCGUCUUUUGCUUCGAACACCUGUGUUUUAGAGAACAAGACAACCCUCUGGUACUGGUAGACAAAUGAAUGGAGACAACAUAGGGUAGAGAGAACUGUUUAGUCUUACAGAGAACAUAACAACCUCUGUAGUGUUGGUGCCAUAGUAAAAAGCACUCUCCACACACUGUAAAGUGGUUAUCUACAGAAAAAAUGCCAAAAAUGGAAUAUGCAAGAGAGAUGUGGUGCCCAACCUAUCUCAUUUAUGCAUGAUACCCUGAUUCAGUUCACAACCUGUACACGCAAGCAGGGAAAGUAAACAAAUAAUGAUGAUGAUCAUGAUAUAACUGUUGGAAACAAGCCAAUAUAGGGGUAGUCAUUGUGUCAAAUGACUUGUUAAAAAUAGCAACUAUAUCUCCCUCAAACUAUAUCCUGCCAUCCAUCUUAAGAUACAUUUGAUAACCUAAUACUGAAUGCAGUGUCUAAAAAACAAAAAUUAAAAAGAUGGGAUGAUUAUAGUUGCAAUAACUUUUGAUUACAGAUGUGCUUGAUCAGAGCUGACAGCUCAACAGAAACCCAUAUCCGUCAUUAGACUGUGGCCAUGCUGG
rnacentral:lncRNA from 1 species